ACACUAUUUACCUGGAGAUAUGAGAGUCAGCAGAGGCCACUUUUAGGCAACAGGCUUGAGCAAGGGUGUUCCCAAAACUGGAGCAAGGCAUCAUGGCUAAAACUCCAGCAGCAACCAUACCAAAAGAACUGCAGAAAGAACAUGGUCAGAGAGUGUGGGGAACUACAGAGAGGAGAGAGCCAGAGAAGAUGGGACCUAAUUCUGUGUAUGCAUCCAUUUAAUUUUAGUCUGAUUCCCGAAACUGGCAAAAAUAUUAUCAGCUUUCAAGUGAAUAGAAAGAACCAUUCGUAAUAAAUAAUGGUUACAGAACGCUGAAAAAAAAUCUGCAAAGGAGACCGCCGUUGAUGAGAAAAAUGGUACACAGGACUUUCUAGUGCCUCUGAUUAAAAGCCGGGGCUUGAAUGUCCAGCUCUUUCUGCUGUGCUGCGGUGUUCUGACUUACCCGUGGCAGAGGUGACCUUUUGAACUUCGGUCCUGGACCUAGGCUUGAAGAUGCCUUGAAGCUUCAGCUGUUGCUGCUUUUAAAUUCCUGCACCCCUCUGUGAAGAACCUGGAGCUUGGAGACCCCCCACCGUUGCCACAGCUGACAGCCUGCCAAAUGCCAGACUUGGGAAUGACUGGAUCCCAGUUUGCCCAACUGUUAGCCAAUCUGCCAGCUAGAGCCAGGUGACGGCGGACUUACGGGGAGCCCAGCUGAGUUCAAGCCCAGGCAUGGCCCAACCGACUCAUUAUUGCGAGCUAAAAAAAGGUGGUUGUUUUAAGCCACCAAAUCUGAGGAUGGUUUGUUACAUAGCAAAAGAUCACUGAUACAGAAACUGCUUCAUAGAAACGAGGACAUACAGUAACAGAUGUAGAUCGUGUGCCUAUUUUUUGACUCCUCUUGUAGACAUAAGCUUCAUAAAAGCAGCAACCUCAUUUUUCCUGCUCAUGGCUGUGUGGCCAAUAAGUAGGACAAUACAUGAGAAACAGUUAAUGAAUUCAAUUUAGUGGCAAAUACUUUGAGCAUGACACGGUCUUAAUCUUACAAGAUUCUGUCCUCCCGAAUACUCUAAGAAAACGGCUGUCAAGGGGCAACCUCUAGCCUAGUCAAACCAGAAGAUUUCACUCCUGGGUGCAAUUUGAAUGUUCCUCUCAUCCUGAGCUACAAACGCGCAAAGAAUGGUAUCGGGCAGGCAGUCUCUCUCUUUCUCCCUCUCUCUCUCUCUCUCCCUCCUUUUUGUCUAUAAAGUAGAACUUAACAUACCGUAUGCUUUACUCCAGUAGUCUGAUAGUUCAUCAGUCUUAGCAACUGGUGACAACUGGUUUUAUAGCUGGGCUGCUGUCAACCAGAAUAUCUAAAGAUGCUUGUCUUUGGAGAAAAUGGUUAACUCUAAGAUGAAAAUAUGAUAGUGAUGUAAGAAAUACAGCUCUCAGUUGUGGUUUAAAAUUACUGUGUUUGUAAAUAAGAAUAAUACCAUGCCCACGUUCGGCGCUAAGCUUCUCUUGAAUGGAUUGUGGUUUGGGAGACAAGAAGAGCUAGGUUUUAUAUUUCCUUGAUUAGUUAUGGCAGAUAGCAAAAUAGUACCCUGACACAGUCACAGAAGGCAGCAGCAAUCUUGUAAACUCUAUAAACACAAAAAACCCUGACAAGUCUCAAGCUAACAUCAGAUGGCUAAUGUCAAUGUACACUCAGGGAAAAUAAACAAACCAAAACAAAACAAAAA
rnacentral:lncRNA from 1 species